UCUUCUUCUUCUUCAUCAUCGAUCUAGGAUGGGUUCCAGGUUGGCAGCCUGGGAUAGCAAGGAUGGAUGUCGUUCUUCUUUUCUCGUUUAUUGUUCAUCCGUAGUCGGACUCUGUUCUUACUCCUGAUGCUUAUGUAAUGUACUGAUGUGACUCUGAUGUANGUCACUAUAUAUAUAUAUCUCUUCUUUUAGUACAUGUACUUGUAACGAUAUCCAUUCUUGCGACACGACAAGAUGCGCUUCUAUCCCUGACGAGGCCUUCGUGCCAAAUUGAGGAUAGGGUCGCAUCUUGGGCGUGACAUAUAUGAAAAAAAGGAAAAAGGGACCUCCUUAUCGAGUAUGACAUUUUGGAUGUUCCUUCGAAUCCCAGUAAUUGUGUGUUGUGGAUUUUGAUAGGAUGAAGGAAAUUAAAAAGGAUUUAGAUG
rnacentral:lncRNA from 1 species